ACAACGGACUUUUCAAUGUUCCCAGAAAAUAUGCUGUUCCCUUUCUUCCUGGCUUGUAGUCAACUUCAACUCAUUCGUCUAGACCUCUUUCAAAUAGCAAGCAAGAAGAAUUCAAAUUCUGGACUUAAUACUGGAUCACCUUUGUUCCAGACCAAAAAGUGGCUGGAGAUGUUGAAAAGGCAUAAACUUUAAGAGGAAGAAACUUUGUCACAUUGGAUUUGUCAUCAUCCAAAGAAAGGAAUGCUGGGCAGAACCAGAAAUAUAUUAUUCACACACUGGAUUUUGAAAAAAAUCCAGAGAUGAUAAUGAUGCCGCGAAAUGAAGGAUGUCGGACAUCAGCUGGGAGAGUGCAAGGAAAAGCAGGGAGAUGGUGACAUUGUGUGGCCUGAAA